UACGGAGGGUGCGAGCGUUGUCCGGAAUCACUGGGCGUAAAGGGUGCGUAGGCGGCCAGAUAAGUCAGUGGUGAAAUCCUGUUGCUUAACAACAGAACUGCCAUUGAUACUGUUUGGCUUGAGUAUAGUUGCUGUGGGCGGAAUAUGACAUGUAGUGGUGAAAUACAUAGAGAUGUCAUAGAACACCGAUUGCGAAGGCAGCUCACAAAACUAUAACUGACGCUGAGGCACGAAAAGUGCGGGGAUCAAACAGG
rnacentral:rRNA from 1 species